AAGUCGUAACAAGGUUUCCGUAGGUGAACCUGCGGAAGGAUCAUUAACACGUAUCCAAACGUUAAAACCCCCCCCCGUGAACAUUCAUCCUGCUCUUGUAACCCGCGAAGCUUGCAAUGAGCGGUAGUUCUAUAGGCCUUGUUUCCCCAAGCAGUCAGUGUCUGAAAGUGUCAUUGAUUGUGCAAGGAUAACGCUUCACGAUUCUUGUAGACCGCAUCUUGCGGGCAGGAGCUAGGCCAAAGGAUCCCCUCAAAUGUGAAGCUCAAUGUAAUACAUUGGGUAAAAAAACCGAACAACUGUUAACAAUGGAUAUCUUGGUUCUC
rnacentral:misc_RNA from 1 species